rnacentral:rRNA from 2 species
GCUCAGAUUGAACGCUGGCGGCAUGCUUUACACAUGCAAGUCGAACGGCAGCACGAAAGAGCUUGCUCUUUUGGUGGCGAGUGGCGAACGGGUGAGUAAUACAUUGGAACGUACCGAGUAAUGGGGGAUAACUGUCCGAAAGGAUGGCUAAUACCGCAUACGCUCUGAGGAGGAAAGCGGGGGACCUUCGGGCCUCGCGUUAUUCGAGCGGCCAAUGUCUGAUUAGCUAGUUGGUGGGGUAAAGGCCUACCAAGGCGACGAUCAGUAGUGGGUCUGAGAGGAUGAUCCGCCACACUGGGACUGAGACACGGCCCAGACUCCUACGGGAGGCAGCAGUGGGGAAUUUUGGACAAUGGGCGAAAGCCUGAUCCAGCCAUGCCGCGUGUCUGAAGAAGGCCUUCGGGUUGUAAAGGACUUUUGUCAGGGAAGAAAGGGUUUGGGUUAAUACCCUGAGCUUAUGAC